CAGAGGGUAGUUUGAAAAUUUAAAAUAUUAAUUUUGGAGAUUAAAGAUAUUAGUUUUCCUCUGA
rnacentral:tRNA from 2 species